GACGAACGCUGGCGGCGUGCUUAACACAUGCAAGUCGAACGAAGGGGCGAACGGGUGAGUAACGCGUAAUCAACCUGCCCUUCAGCGGGGGACAACAGUUGGAAACGACUACUAAUACCGAAUACUGAAGGCGGGGAUGGCGUCUGAUUAGCAAGUUGGAGGGGGAACGGCCUACCAAGGCGAUGAUCAGUGGCCGGUCUGAGAGGAUGAACGGCCACAUUGGGACUGAGACACGGCCCAGACUCCUACGGGAGGCAGCAGUGGGGAAUCUUCCGCAAUGGAAGAAAGUCUGACGGAGCAACGCCGCGUGAGUGAUGACGGCCUUCGGGUUGUAAAGCUCUGUUAAUCGGGACGCGGUACCGGAAUAGAAAGCCACGGCUAACUACGUGCCAGCAGCCGCGGUAAUUC
rnacentral:rRNA from 1 species